CGAGGGUUGAAAACAACAUAUACGCUGCAGAGGGGCAGCUCUCCUGCUGCGAUGUUCUGCACAUGUGCAGCAUAUGUGUUUCACAGCCCUUUGGACCACUUUCCUUUGUUUAUUUUGACAAAACUCUCACUGGCCCAUGUCUUUCAACAGUUCAAUCUCUCUUUUGAUGCACUUUUAUUGAUUUUUGACAUUUUUCAGUUUUUGUCAUCACAUAUACCAAACAAGCGCAUCUCAUAUGCUGCUGCGGCCACUUCUCUUGUUUCCCAGAGAAACGAAAGUUGGAAAUACUUUCACAUCAUUCGAUAUCCCGUCAAUCUCUCAUAAAUGUAAGUUGAGGACAUAUUUUUCAUAUUUUGUCCCAUCGCCUCAACAGCGUGCAGCAUAUGUGCAGCGGCCCGCCCAUUUAGGGUAACGUUUUCGGAUUAAUGGGUGAGCUCUCUCUCAUCUUCCUUCUCAACACCUUAGUCUGCAAACGUGUGCACUGCUGUGAUAAAAAAUGGCAUUUUCUAGUCUGACCACUGAACGUGCAGCCUAUAUGCUGCAGCAUCUUUUCAACCACAUUUUUUUGGUUGGAACCUGGAUAAAACUAUUAAUUAAACUCGGAUAAAACGGAAAAUGUUAUUCUAAAGACUAAUCUGAAGUCUAAUAAGGGAAAUUGUGCAAAAAAAAAAAAAAAAGAAUAAAAAGAAUGGACGGUUAGGUGGUAUGCAAUUAAUACUUUACAACUGGUUGAGAUCAAGGUAAACAGGGCAUCACCAGGGGAGAAUAAAUGCAAUUUAUCCGGGUUUAUACCUAAUUUUCAGCACAAUGAUCCUAUCUAAGAUCAUAUUGUAAUGGUACCAGGAUAAGAUUCUCCCCUGGUGAUAAAAGAUUUCAUUGCUUUUAAGUUAUUUUGUAGCCUUAUAUGUGUUCAGGUUAGUAUUUGUGUGUGGAUAAACAACCAGAGCCUGCAAACAUAUACCUGUCCACCGUAUGGCGAUGUUGAUCUAGAAUCCUAAAAGACCAUGGAGGGGGUUGUUCCAGGAUAAGAUUCUCCCCUGGUGAUGCCCUUACAUAGUUUAUUGUAAAGUAUAAAUUGCAUACCACCUAACUGCCCAUUCCUUUUAUUCCUUAUUUUGUUUUUUAAAAGGGACAAUGCAC
ensembl:lncRNA